UGGGGUAUCGCCAAGCGGUAAGGCACCUGACUCUGACUCAGGUAUCCGGGGUUCGAAUCCCUGUACCCCAG
rnacentral:tRNA from 1 species